GCCGAAGUGAUGGAAUUGGAAUACAUACUGCUCUUAGAAAGCAGGUUUUGCGAGUUCGAGUCUCGCCUUCGGUA
rnacentral:tRNA from 1 species